GUCAGGACAAUGGUUUUCAAAGUUCUCUAAAUCUCUUAUACUACAUGGCUUCCAUCAAUCCAAAUUGGACUAUUUACAAAAGAUUCUAGAGCUUCUUUUAAUGCAUUACUGGUUUAUGUUGAUGAUAUUAUCAUCACAGGAUCAAACAUUGAAGAAGUAAAAUUCGUAAAGGCAUUUUUGCAUAAUCAGUUUAAGCUCAAAGACCUAGGUAAACUGAAGUAUUUUCUUGGCUUGGAGAUAGCAAGGUCAUAGAAAAGAAUCUUCCUCUCCCAAAGACAUUACACUCUUCAACUUCUUAAAGACACUGGUUCUUUUGCCAGCAAACCAGCUCAGCUACUUGUGGAUCCGCGUCUAAAUUCUUUUGAUGGAGAACUCCUUGAUGAUGCUUCUUUAUAUCAAAGAUUGGUACUUAACCAUCUCUCGACCAAUCAUUACCGUUGCUGUUCAUAAACUCGGCUAAUUCAUGUCUCAACCUCGACAACCUCAUCUUGAUGUUGCACUUAAGGUAUCUUAAAUCAUCCUCAGGAUAAGGCUUGUUAUUUGCUGCUGCUUCUUCAUUCUAGCUUCAAGCAUGUGCUGACGCUAAUUGGGGAUCAUGUCCUGAUUCAAGAAAAUUCAAGAAAAUUAAUCACUGGGUUUUGUGUGCUCCUUGGUGAUUCACUAAUUUCCUGGAGAGCUAAAAAGCAAACCAUUAUUUCCAAAUCAUCAGCUGAGGCAGAAUAUAGGGCCUUGGCAUCUACAACAAGCGAACUUGUUUGGAUACAUCAGCUUCUUCUUGAUUUCCAGAUUACAUCUUCUUCUCCGGCAUUAAUUUUCUGUGAUAAUCAAGCUGCGAUCCAUAUCGCCACGAAUCCUAUCUUCCAUGAACGGACA
rnacentral:lncRNA from 1 species